UGUAAACAUCCUUGACUGGAAGCUGGUGCACAUGAUGGAGCUUUCAGUCGGAUGUUUGCA
rnacentral:pre_miRNA from 8 species